AGCGAACGCUGGCGGCAGGCCUAACACAUGCAAGUCGAACGAACAUUUCGGGUUCAGUGUCGGAUGGGUUAGUAGCACGUCGGAACGUUCCCUCUUGUUCGGGAUAACUCUGGGACUCUUGUGCCAAUACCGAAUCUGCCCUUCGACGGAAAGAUUUAUCGCCUUUAGAGCGUCCGUCGUCUGAUUAGCUAUUUGGUUGAGGUAUUGGCUCACCAAGGCGACGAUCAGUAGCUGGUCUGAGAGGAUGAUAAACCACAUUGGGACUGUGACACGGCACAAAGUCCUACGGGAGGCGGCAGUGGGGGACCGUGCGCAAUGGGCUAAAGCCUGACGGAGCCAUGACGCGUGAAUGAUGAAGGUCUUAGGAUUGUAAAAUUCUUUUAACGAGGACGAUAUUGACGGUACCCGGAGAAAAAGCCACGGCUAACUUCGUG
rnacentral:rRNA from 1 species